CUUGGCCCCGCGCGCCCCGCCCCCGCCGCGCCCCGGCCCGAGGCCUGCCUCGGUGUCCAGUCCCAGGCCACAGACCCACAGCCUGGGCGCCCAGGCGCCAAGGUGCAUUUAUGGAGCGCCUACGGUGUGCCUUGAUCUCUCUGGAAUGGUCCUCUGUGUGCACCAGGAUCUGGUGUAAGCACUUGAGCUGGAAGAAGCCACCAGUGUCCCCAAGGGAAUGAAGAGCCGGAGGCACAGAAAGGGCAGUUGUCCUGGCCAAAAUCACACAGCAGGUGACGGGGCAUGUAGACUCAGGUUCCAUUGUGUUGGUCCUUUUGGAGGGUGUCAGGUGACUCUGAGACACUGGCUGCAGCCGAGCCCAAGAGGCACUGGGAUGCCGCGUGAGUCCUCUGUACGUCCUGGGCCCUGCCCAUGCUGACCGUUGUGCCUGCCUUCCAUGUCAGUUCCGGAUGUCACCCUCACCCCAGCUAAGGCCUGGGUUCAUGAGCCGGGUAAAGCGGUGGCAGGCACCCGUCAUCCCAGCUCUUGGAAGGCAGAGGCACCAGAAAUUCCUGGACAUUCUCAGCUACUUAGUGAAUGUGAAGCCAGACUGUGCUAGUGAGUCCCCAUGUCAGACACCUACAGGCUGAGGUGUGGCGCUGGCCUCUGGGUGAGCAGCCCUGCCGUCUCCCAUGCUGCAAACAAACACACAAGCCAGACUGCACCCUCGCGGGCCUCCCUGGGGUCCUCUUCCUCCAGCACCCAAUGGUGGCUGUGACCUCUGCCCCCACCACCUAUUGGUGUUCUGUACAUCUAGGGUCUCAUGUAGCCCAAGCUGACCCCCAACUCCUUCUGUAGCUGAGACUGACCUUGAACAUCCAUUGCCCCUGCCUCCAUCUCAAGAGUGCUUGGAGGCCAGACGUGAGCCACCAUACCUGGUUUAUUAAGGAGCUUGGGGCCUGGCCGUGAGGGGGGGGGGGCGCAGUGGACUGGAAGCCCUCCCCCCAGCCUCCUCAGGGGCAGGGGGUGAUUUCUCUCUGCUCAGGGUCAGGCACCUGACACACCUAUGGGGCGGACACCUCAGAUCAGGGAGUCACCUGGGGUGUUUCAGGCCUUGCCCAGACUCCCAUGGUAGGUCCUCUGUAGGGGCAGCCAGUGAGCUAACCACUGAGCUUCUCUGCAGUCCCAGCUACUUUAUUCUGCACCCAGAGUGCAGCAAGGGCUGGCCUGGGAUCCUCCCGUGUUCCCCCCACCUCUGCACCUUGGAACAGCACUUGUGCCAUGGUACCCAGUCACGUGUGGCCUCGAACCUGGGUCCUCCUGCAACACGGUAAGCCCUCUCCCACCUGAUCUUCCCCAGCUGCAACACUUUUGUUUCUUCAGACAGUGUCUCAUGGAGUCCAGAUUUGAGUUUGAAGUCUCAAACCGCCUGUGACUCCAGUUCUGAGGACCCAGCGGCCCAUUUGGUCUCUGAGGGUACUGCGUGCACAGGUUACAAUCCCGGGGACCUAAUGGCCCCUUCUAGCCUGCAUAGGUACUACACACACGUGCACAGGCAUUUGCAGCCAACACACACAUGAAAUAAAAAUAAAUCUGGGACUGGAGAGAUGGCUCAGCGGUUAGGAGCACUGACUGCCCUUCCAGAGGUCCUGAGUUCAAUUCC